rnacentral:rRNA from 1 species
CCUACGGGAGGCAGCAGUGGGGAAUAUUGGACAAUGGGGGGAACCCUGAUCCAGCCAUGUCGCGUGUGUGAAGAAGGCCCUCGGGUUGUAAAGCACUUUCAGUGAGGAAGAACGCCUGGUGGUUAAUACCCAUCAGGAAAGACAUCACUCACAGAAGAAGCACCGGCUAACUCCGUGCCAGCAGCCGCGGUAAUACGGAGGGUGCGAGCGUUAAUCGGAAUUACUGGGCGUAAAGCGCGCGUAGGUGGCUUGAUAAGCCGGUUGUGAAAGCCCCGGGCUCAACCUGGGAACGGCAUCCGGAACUGUCAAGCUAGAGUGCAGGAGAGGAAGGUAGAAUUCCCGGUGUAGCGGUGAAAUGCGUAGAGAUCGGGAGGAAUACCAGUGGCGAAGGCGGCCUUCUGGACUGACACUGACACUGAGGUGCGAAAGCGUGGGUAGCAAACAGGAUUAGAUACCCUAGUAGUC